UUGACUCUGUAUCUUGGGUGCCUUAUUUUGGAUCUAAGAUGAACCUUUGCUUGUUUGAGGGUUCAUGGUGUAGAAGUCAGAUGAAGUUUCAUGUGAUGACUAAGCUGCAUCUUGGGAGUAAAAUGACCUCGGGAAAAGGUCUGGACUUAUGUUCUAUGAUCAACAAAAAACAGAUUAUUCCAGGCUGUCUCUGACAUGAACUCAGUGGCUGGCUCUUUGAUCACCUCCCCUUCAGGGAGGAAGCAUCCUUACCAGGCCACAGAGGAAGACAAUGCAGCCACUCCUGAUGAGACCUGCAUUCUUCGCUCUAGGACACAGGGCAGGAUUUCUCUGGAAUGAAGAGGAGUCCAUUACUACCAAAUAAGCCUGGGUAAGAGAAUUUCUCUACAGACAGCACUAAGAAAACUGGGG